AGCGCAGGAAAAGAAACCAACAGGGAUUGCCCCAGUAACGGCGAGUGAAGCGGCAACAGCUCAAAUUUGAAAUCUGGCUUCGGCCCGAGUUGUAAUUUGCAGAGGAAGCUUUAGGCGCGGCACCAUCUGAGUCCCCUGGAACGGGGCGCCAAAGAGGGUGAGAGCCCCGUAUAGAUGGACGCCUAGCCUGUGUAAAGCUCCUUCGACGAGUCGAGUAGUUUGGGAAUGCUGUUCAAAAUGGGAGGUAAAUUUCUUCUAAAGCUAAAUAUUGGCCAGAGACCGAUAGCGCACAAGUAGAGUGAUCGAAAGAUGAAAAGCACUUUGAAAAGAGGGUUAAAUAGCACGUGAAAUUGUUGAAAGGGAAGCGCUUGUGACCAGACUUGCGCCGGGCGGAUCAUCCGGUGUUCUCACCGGUGCACUCCGCCCGGCUCAGGCCAGCAUCGGUUCUCGUGGGGGGAUAAAGGCACCGGGAACGUAGCUCCUCCGGGAGUGUUAUAGCCCGGGGCGUAAUGCCCUCGCGGGGACCGAGGACCGCGCUUCUGCAAGGAUGCUGGCGUAAUGGUCAUCAGCGACCCGUCUUGAAACACGGACCAAGGAGUCAAGGUUUUGCGCGAGUGUUUGGGUGCAAAACCCGCACGCGUAAUGAAAGUGAACGUAGUGAGAGCUUCGGCGCAUCAUCGACCGAUCCUGAUGUUCUCGGAUGGAUUUGA
rnacentral:rRNA from 1 species